rnacentral:lncRNA from 1 species
CCCAGAGAUUGCAGAGUCGGAGAAAUCUGCAUGGUUUGGCUGCAGCUGAGGUUUGUGAUGCAAGUCAGGCAUACGUAUGCCCUAUCUUCCCCCAGAAGAGUAGUCUUACAUCAAACAUCAUCUUCCUUCACAUUCUCCUGUCCCUUCACCCUGGGUAGAACAAGGUCAAGGUGAGUAUUUUGCGACACAUUCAGUAAACUCUGGGGCUUAAGAUGCAAGAUUCUUUGGUUAUUAGGUUUUAUGUUUUUUGGUUUCUCUGGAAGCUGAGGGCAGUGAAUUUUAUUUGCAGUCUUUCUCUCAGUAUUAGGAACUUUCGAUUUUUUUUUUUUUUUUUUUUGAGACAGAGUCUCGCUCUUUUGCCUAGGCUGGAGUGCAGUGGUGUGAUCUCGGCUGACUGCAAGUUCCGCCUCCCGGGUUCAUGCCAUUCUCCUGCCUCAGCCUCCUGAGUAAGCUGGGACUACAGGCGCCUGCCACCACACCCGGCUAAUUUUUUUUUUUUUUUUUUUUUUUUUUUUUUUGUAGAGACAGGGUUUCACCGUGUUAGCCAGGAUGGUCUCAAUCUCCUGACCUUGUGAUCUGCCGGCCUUGGCCUCCCAAAAGGAACUUUGAAUUUUUAUAACAAAUAAACCAAAUAAAUUUCAUGACCAGUAAGAUACAAAGGAACAAAGUCCACAAUGUAUUGUCUUGAUAACUAAGAAAAUAAGAUACAUGAAACAUGUUUGUGAACUGUAAAGCAAUGCCUAAAUAAUAGUCAUGUUAUUAGUAACAAUUAUGAACAGUAAAGGUAUAGCAGAAAAUUUUUGAAAAGUCAUGAGCUAUGUUAAUUCAAUGACCAGCUGCCUGAAUGACAGUUUAAAAACCACCUAAACUCCUGGUGUCUUCUUUAUAAAGGUCCCCCAGAAACUAUCCAGUGUGCUGAUAAUGGCUAGAAAUUCGCUGGACUCCAUUUAUGGUAAUGCUGGGUCCAAACUGCACAACAGCUAACUGGAGCCUUAGUUGAUCACAGGCCAAUCUAGGGCUCCUGGCAACAGUAGAAUGUCCAAGUUCAGGGAGGGAUGCUGACCAUGACUUAAAAUACUUUCUUACAAAAGCCAUACUAAAUCAUUUCAAUACAGUGAUUAAGGUUGCUUUGGGCCCUUUUCUUUUUCUUUUUUUUUUUUUUUGAGAUGGAGUCUUGCUCUGCUGCCCCCCGCUGGAGUGCAAUGGCACCAUCUCGGCUCACUGAAACCUCCGCCUCCCAAGUUCCAGCAAUUCUCCUGCCUCAGCCUCCCAAGGAGCUGGGAUUACAGGAGCCUACCACCACAGCUAGCUAAUUUUUGUAUUUUUAGUAGAGAUGGGUUUCAUCAUGUUAGUCAGGCUGGUCUCGAACUCCUGACCUCAGGUGAUCCGCCUGUCUUGGCCUCCCAAAGUGCUGGGGUUACAGGUAUGAGCCACCGUGCCCGGCCCGCUUUCUGCCCUUUUCUUAACGCUUUUACUAUCUUUUAAUUCUGAAGAUUAACUGGGGAGAAAUUAUAAUCAGAUGUUACUCUCACCUGUUUUUUUAAUUAUACAUAGAUUGCAGACUGAAUACAAAUAUUGAUCAGAAGCCAAAACACCCCACACAUUACUUAUCAAUCAACCCAGGCCAAUCUGUCUUUCAACUGUACAUUUUUGUGUUCUUGCCUCACCACUUAGUAAAAUAAACAUAAGAAUAAAUAGCAAUCCAAUCCAAAUAAGCAUCUCUCAUCUAUAAUUAUCUGAAGCAACGGAUUUAAAGAUGGGUAGAGUUAAUCCACCUCACCAAGUACAUCUUCA